UCCUACAGCCAUGCCACCUUGAAUGUGCUCAAUCUCCUCUGAUCUCAGAAGCUAAGCAGGGUUGGGCCUGGUUAGUACUUGUCUGAUCUCAGAAGCUAAGCAGGGUCAGGCCUGGUUAGUACUUGGAUGGGAGACCACCUAGGAAUACCAGAUGCUGUAGGUG
rnacentral:rRNA from 1 species